rnacentral:rRNA from 1 species
GAUGAACGCUGGCGGCGUGCCUAAUACAUGCAAGUCGAGCGAACAGACGAGGAGCUUGCUCCUCUGACGUUAGCGGCGGACGGGUGAGUAACACGUGGAUAACCUACCUAUAAGACUGGGAUAAUUUCGGGAAACCGGAGCUAAUACCGGAUAAUAUAUUGAACCGCAUGGUUCAAUGGUGAAAGACGGUUUUGCUGUCACUUAUAGAUGGAUCCGCGCCGCAUUAGCUAGUUGGUAAGGUAACGGCUUACCAAGGCAACGAUGCGUAGCCGACCUGAGAGGGUGGUCGGCCACACUGGAACUGAGACACGGUCCAGACUCCUACGGGAGGCAGCAGUCGGCAAUCUUCCGCAAUGGGCGAAAGCCUGACGGAGCAACGCCGCGUGAGUGAUGAAGGUCUUCGGAUCGUAAAACUCUGUUAUUAGGGAAGAACAACUGUGUAAGUAACUAUGCACUUCUUGACGGUACCUAAUCAGAAAGCCCCGGCUAACUACGUG